rnacentral:rRNA from 1 species
UACGUAGGGUGCAAGCGUUGUCCGGAAUUAUUGGGCGUAAAGAGCUCGUAGGCGGUUUGUCGCGUCUGCUGUGAAAACUCGGGGCUUAACUCCGGGCCUGCAGUGGGUACGGGCAGACUUGAGUGUUGCAGGGGAGACUGGAAUUCCUGGUGUAGCGGUGAAAUGCGCAGAUAUCAGGAGGAACACCGGUGGCGAAGGCGGGUCUCUGGGCAACAACUGACGCUGAGGAGCGAAAGCGUGGGGAGCGAACAGG